rnacentral:rRNA from 1 species
UACGUAGGGCGCAAGCGUUGUCCGGAAUUAUUGGGCGUAAAGAGCUCGUAGGCGGCUUGUCACGUCGGAUGUGAAAGCCCGGGGCUUAACCCCGGGUCUGCAUUCGAUACGGGCAGGCUAGAGUGUGGUAGGGGAGAUCGGAAUUCCUGGUGUAGCGGUGGAAUGCGCAGAUAUCAGGAGGAACACCGGUGGCGAAGGCGGGUCUCUGGGCAGUAACUGACGCUGAGGAGCGAAAGCGUGGGGAGCGAACAGG